CUCUCGGUAGCUCAGUUGGAUAGAGCAUCUGCCUUCUAAGCAGAGGGUCGCAGGUUCGAAUCCUGCCCGGGAGGCCA
rnacentral:tRNA from 1 species